rnacentral:tRNA from 1 species
GGAGGGGUGGCCGAGCGGUUGAAGGCGGCGGUCUUGAAAACCGCUAACCCGACUUGUCGGGUUCGGGGGUUCGAAUCCCUCCCCCUCCG